UUAAACUUUCCUCCAUCGUGCCGGAGGUCGCCUCCAACGAUGACAAAGCUUCAAUGCCCACAAUUAAUACAUCAAAUCCUUCAGUUCUUUCCCCUAGGAACGAAUCUCCUAAUGAAAUGGUGUUAUUCCUCUUGAGAAACUUGAAUCGAAACAAACCUCUGAAGAAUCCUAAAAUCCUAAUCUAAAAAUUAAAUCUCACUCUCUCGGAAUCAAAGCCUUAGAGGUUAGGGCCUUGAUUCCCCUAAACCUCUCCUACACUCUAGUAACAAACAUGUUGUGAAACGAUGAAGAAGAGUGGGGGAAACUCACCAGAGCAACGCCAGAAAUCAGGUAUGAAAGCUUCUAAAUCUUCAAAUCCUUCUUCUCCUCCGUCUGAUUCUUCUUCUUCUUUCUUCUUAUGUGCUUCUUUCUUCUUAAAGGGAGAGAGUUUGAAUGGAAAAAUUGUAGAGCUCUGAAUCUCGUUGGAGAGUGAUGAGGAAUGAUUUGGAAUUUGAUGAACAAUGAAUGAAUCCCUUGAAAUGAAUCUGAGAUGUGAAUUUAUAUAGGAGAGGAUUAAUAGAGGGGGUUUAACUCUGUUAAAUGAUUGAGAGGGAAAUUUGUUGGAGGUGAUUAACGGUGUUAACUUGUUAGUUAGGAUUAAUUAGUUUCAGUUAUGAUUCUGUUAUAGUGAAUUGAGCCUAAUGUGAAGUGAAUGAAACGGAUUUGGAAACUCGAGUGGAAUGAGUUAACUGCUUUGUAACUGCUAUUUUUAAUUACUUAGUUCAAGUUAGUUGACUAAGUUAGUGUUAAACUGAGUUUUAAUUUUCUGUUAAAUGUGAUGUUAAUUUUUCAAUUGCUGCUGCUGUGAAUGAUGUACAUUGGUUGCUCGAUUUUGGAUGACAAGUUCAGUUGGCAUGCUAGAUUUUAUUUGGAAAAGUUAUUGUUGAAAAUAGGCCUGCUCGAUUUGUGCAAUGUCAUGCUGGUGUUGAAUUGUUUGCUGCAUGAUCUACUAUUGAAUUAUUGAUGUGACAUGAUGUUAUGAAAUGGUUGCAGGCUUUGUGGUUCAAGGAUGAAACACAUGACUGCUACGAUAUGGCUUACAUGACUGUUAUAAGUCUUAUGUUGGAUUGACUGCAUGACUGUUGUGUUAGAUGAUAGGUAAUGUAUGGCUUGGCUUUUGAUGAUAUGUUGUUAUGCAAACUGAAUUGUUGUUUGAUUGUUAUGUGUUAUAGGAUUUGUGUUACUUGCUUACAUAGGCUUGGAAUUAUGAAUGAGGGUAUGAUGUAAAUGUUAGGUUAAUGCUUUUGGUCAUACUAGGUCUUGAAAGGGUAAUGAUUGUCAUGUUUUUCAUGUGUUAUAAUGCAACGUAUGGCCUUGGUGUGCUUAUUGUUUGGAAAUGUUUUGGUUUUGGUUGUGAAUGCAUAUAUUGGCAAUGUUUGGAAAUACUUGAAAAGGUCAUGGAUAUUGUUUGUUCUUGGUUUUUGUAGGUGAUGUAUAAAUGCAAAGAUGAUGUUAACUUGGAGACCAAGGAAACUAGGAUUUAGGGACUUUAAGGUUGACCAAAAAGUAAACAGUUGACCAAAAGUUAACUUAUGCAAAAAGUUGAAAAUGUCUUUAUAAUUUCUUAUGAUCAUGUAUGGGCAAUGUAACAAUUACUUUUAUGAAUGAAAUGC
rnacentral:lncRNA from 1 species